rnacentral:rRNA from 1 species
GACGAACGCUGGCGGCGUGCUUAACACAUGCAAGUCGAGCGGUAAGGCCCUUUCGGGGGUACACGAGCGGCGAACGGGUGAGUAACACGUGAGUGACCUGCCCUCAGCUCUGGGAUAAGCCUGGGAAACCGGGUCUAAUACUGGAUAUGACUCCAUGACGCAUGUUGUGGGGUGGAAAGCCUUGUGCGGCUGAGGAUGGGCCCGCGGCCUAUCAGCUUGUUGGUGGGGUGAUGGCCUACC